AGAUCUACGGGGGGCAGCAGUGGGGAAUAUUGCACAAUGGGGGAAACCCUGAUGCAGCGACGCCGCGUGAGUGAAGAAGUAAUUCGUUACGUAAAGCUCUAUCAGCAGGGAAGAGAAUGACGGUACCUGACUAAGAAGCCCCGGCUAACUACGUGCCAGCAGCCGCGGUAAUACGUAGGGGGCAAGCGUUAUCCGGAAUCACUGGGUGUAAAGGGAGCGUAGACGGCUGUGCAAGCCUGAAGUGAAAGGCGGGGGCCCAACCCCUGGACUGCUUUGGGAACUGUACGGCUGGAGUGCAGGCGAGG
rnacentral:rRNA from 1 species